rnacentral:rRNA from 1 species
GGCGGGCGGACGGGUGAGUAACGCGUGGGUAACCGUGCCUCAUACAGGGGGAUAACAGUUGGAAACGGCUGCUAAUACCGCAUAAGCGCACAGUACCGCAUGGUACGGUGUGAAAAACUCCGGUGGUAUGAGAUGGACCCGCGUCUGAUUAGGUAGUUGGUGGGGUAACGGCCUACCAAGCCGACGAUCAGUAGCCGACCUGAGAGGGUGACCGGCCACAUUGGGACUGAGACACGGCCCAA